UACAGAGGGUGCGAGCGUUGUCCGGAAUCACUGGGCGUAAAGGGCGCGUAGGCGGCUUGAUAAGGUUGCGGUGAAAGCCCGGGGCUCAACCCCGGGUCGGCCGUGGCAACUGUCGAGCUGGAGCACUGUAGAGGCAGGUGGAAUUCCGGGUGUAGCGGUGGAAUGCGUAGAGAUCCGGAAGAACACCGGUGGCGAAGGCGGCCUGCUGGGC
rnacentral:rRNA from 1 species